rnacentral:rRNA from 1 species
UACGUAGGGGGCGAGCGUUGUCCGGAGUUACUGGGCGUAAAGCGCUUGUAGGCGGUCCACCAAGUUUGGGGGUGACAGUUGCCGACUUAAUCGGCAAAGUGCCUCAAAGACUGGCGGACUUGAGGGCCACAGAGGGACAUGGAACUCCAGGUGUAGUGGUGAAAUGCGUAGAUAUCUGGAAGAACACCAAAAGGCGAAGGCAGUGUCCUGGGUGGUCGCUGACGCUGAGAGGCGAAAAGCCAGGGGGAGCGAACGGGG